rnacentral:miRNA from 1 species
AGCCUACGGCUGGACCUCUAGU